GUACAUGGUGAAUAUUUAUUGUUUUUCAGUUCCUUUCAGCACAUUUUUGGAGCUAUAAUUUUUUAUUCUGUCUUUCUUUCAGAGCCUGUAAGAGCAACGCUAGCUACCUUUGACGAUGAUCAGUUGGAUAAUAAUUCACACACGGAAACAACAUUGAACGAUUUCACUCUCGAUUCUGAAAUCAGACAAGGUAAUGAUUUUGCCGAACCUAAACAUCCAUUUGGUAAUCGAUAUUCUAAAUCAUCAUUUUGGCUUCUUAGUGUUUGUUCUUAUGCUUUGUGAGAAUACCUUACUAAACGUGUCAAAUAUCAUACUCAUUCUUUAUGCAUAAUCAAUCACAAUAAUAAAUUGAUGAAUAGUUAUAAAAAGAAAAUGAGAAAUCAAAAUGUUACCGGUACCAUUUUUACGGGUAUUAGUUUUAGUUUAAAAGAAUCAAAGACCAGAAGUUGAACUUUUCCUUCUAUUAAAUAUCAAAUCUCUCUCUCUUAUUAUAAUUUAAUCAUCCUCUUUUUCUUUACAUUUCUCACCUAACCAAUCAAAUAUAAGAAAGCUGGUCUCUUCAGCUAACCCUCCUCCGAAACGAGUGGAAAUGCAAAAAAUCUGACCUUUGAGGAGGACGUCUCAAAGUUCCGAAUAUGUCCGAAAGUUUCUGCUUGUCGAGUUUAAGAAAAAAAGCGCUGUCAACAUUUUUGUGAGAUUCCCGGCCGCACUUUGAAUCCCUCCUGACGCUUCUGCUGAAAAAUGAAAGAAGAUUUUCCUCGAGUCAAACUGGGAGUUUUAACAAUUCAGGGAUUCCCGGGGAUAUUGACGGGGACGUCAGUUAAGCCGCUGUCUAAGUCCUCGUAAUUUUCGGAUCCCUCCGCACUUAUCGAAGCCUCGUCGGGAAGGAUGCGCAUCGAAGUUUUUAAUCAACUGGUUUAAUUAGGAGUCGGGCGGCUGCCUCGCCUCACCUGCAAAUCGGAGGAAUUCCAGCGGACGGAGCCGCGGCGAAUUUUCUUGUAAAUUUUCCACCCGCUUCAGCCGAGCUUUGAAGGGUGUCGAGCUUUCAUCGGAACCCGCCUCACGCCCGGAUCCUACCAUUAUCUCUGCCAAAGAGCCUAUUCAAAAACGCCAAGAACCCCCGCCCGGUAAACGUUGCCCGACCCCGCUGUAACAUUUCAAAUACUCUUAUGAAUAUUUUUACCGUACCCCAUGGCCAAAAAUUAAAAUUUGAUGUCUUAAUUGCAACAUCUCAAAAUUUCCG
rnacentral:lncRNA from 1 species